rnacentral:misc_RNA from 1 species
GAAAUGCGAUACUUGGUGUGAAUUGCAGAAUCCCGUGAACCAUCGAGUCUUUGAACGCAAGUUGCGCCCCAAGCCUUCUGGCCGAGGGCACGUCUGCCUGGGUGUCACAAAUCGUCGUCCCCCCAUCCUUUUGGAUAAGGGACGGAAGCUGGUCUCCCGUGUGAUACCGCAUGCGGUUGGCCAAAAUCCGAGCUUAGGACGUCAGGAACGUCUCGACAUGCGGUGGUGAAAAAUCCUUCUCUAUGUCGGUCGAUCCGGUCUCAUGAGCUCUCGAUGACCCAAAGUCCUCAACGCGACCCCAGGUCAGGCGGGAUCACCCGCUGAGUUUAA